rnacentral:rRNA from 1 species
UACGUAGGCAGCGAGCGUUGUUCGGAAUUACUGGGCGUAAAGAGCGCGUAGGCGGCACGGUACGACCGGUGUGAAAGCCCCCGGCUCAACUGGGGAGGGUCACCGGUAACGGUCGAGCUAUGAGUGCAGGAGAGGGAAGUGGAACUCCGGGAGUAGCGGUGAAAUGCGUAGAGACCCGGAGGAACACCAGUGGCGAAGGCGGCUUCCUGGUCUGCGACUGACGCUGUGGCGCGAAAGCUAGGGGAGCAAACGGG